AUACGGAGGGUGCAAGCGUUGUCCGGAUUUAUUGGGUUUAAAGGGUGCGUAGGUGGAACUGUAAGUCUGAUUUGAAAGCAAGCGGCUUAACCGUUUGACGUGGUUGGAAACUGUGGUUCUUGAGUGGGUUGGCGGUAGCCGGAAUGGGUCAUGUAGCGGUGAAAUGCAUAGAUAUGACCCGGAACACCGAUUGCGAAGGCAGGCUACUACGACUUGAUUGACACUGAGGCACGAGAGCAUGGGUAGCGAACAGGAUUAGAUACCCUGGUAGUCCAUGCCGUAAACGAUGAUUACUGGCUGUAUGUGUUCUAACAUGUGUGGCUGAGCGAAAGCGUUAAGUAAUCCACCUGGGGAGUACGCUGGCAACAGUGAA
rnacentral:rRNA from 1 species